UAACGACUCUCGGCAACGGAUAUCUCGGCUCUCGCAUCGAUGAAGAACGUAGCGAAAUGCGAUACUUGGUGUGAAUUGCAGAAUCCCGCGAAUCAUCGAGUCUUUGAACGCAAGUUGCGCCCGAAGCCAUCUGGUCGAGGGCACGUCUGCCUGGGUGUCACGCAUCGUCGCCCCCAACCC
rnacentral:rRNA from 1 species